UCAGUUUUCACUUAUGCAUAUUAUUGAACAGUUGAUUUCUUAUGAAUAGACUGAAGAAAAAACCAUCACUAUUAUAGAUAAGUAAAUUUUCAGUCUUUUUCAUCUUGGAUGGCAAGCAAAAUCAAAUAUAUGGAGGCAAGAACUAUUGGGCAAAGCAUUUUCUACCUCUGUGCACAAUUGAAAUGACAUUAUUCAAGGUGACUGCAUCUGAACACAUCCUCAAUCAUGCAUUAUCCAAGAAGUAAAAUGGUCUUAGGCGGGCAGGGGCAGGAAUAAUGGGAAGUUAUAAGAGUGCUGGACACAGAGAAGGUAACCACAUGGUGGAUAUUGGGGAUAUUAUAUUUACUUUGAAUGAGCUACAGGAACAGUAUGAGGAUGUUUCAAUUACAGAAGGAUCACCUUUGAAUGAAAUUACUUCAGACAGAAAGUUAUCAAGUGUAGCAGGAUGCUAUCUAAAAUAUAAGAAGAAAAAUAGUUUGUCUUCCAAACUCCCUGAACCUUCAAUAUCCAAAAAGUUAAAUAAAAAAAGCAACCAAUAUUAUAGCAAA
rnacentral:lncRNA from 1 species